rnacentral:rRNA from 1 species
UAGGGAAUUUUGCGCAAUGGGGGAAACCCUGACGCAGCGACGUCGCGUGUGGGAUGAAGGGUCUCGGCUCGUAAACCACUGUCAGAUGGGAAGAUGGGAUUCAUGUCUAAUAAAUAUGAGUUUUGACUGUACCAUCAGAGGAAGCACCGGCUAACUACGUGCCAGCAGCCGCGGUAAUACGUAGGGUGCUAGCGUUACUCGGAAUCAUUGGGCGUAAAGGGUGCGUAGGCGGAAUUAUAAGUCAGGUGUGAAAGCCUUGGGCUCAACCCAAGAAGUGCAUUUGAUACUGUAAUUCUAGAGUACAGGAGAGGAAGGUGGAAUUCCCGGUGUAGAGGUGAAAUCCGUAGAUAUCGGGAGGAAUACCAGAGGCGAAGGCGGCCUUCUGGACUGACACUGACGCUGAGGCACGAAAGCGUGGGGAGCAAACAGG